AUUGAACGCUGGCGGCAUGCUUUACACAUGCAAGUCGAACGGCAGCACAGAGAAGCUUGCUUCUUGGGUGGCGAGUGGCGAACGGGUGAGUAACAUAUCGGAACGUACCGAGUAAUGGGGGAUAACUAAUCGAAAGAUUAGCUAAUACCGCAUAUUCUCUGAGGAGGAAAGCAGGGGACCUUCGGGCCUUGCGUUAUUCGAGCGGCCGAUAUCUGAUUAGCUAGUUGGUGGGGUAAAGGCCUACCAAGGCGACGAUCAGUAGCGGGUCUGAGAGGAUGAUCCGCCACACUGGGACUGAGACACGGCCCAGACUCCUACGGGAGGCAGCAGUGGGGAAUUUUGGACAAUGGGCGCAAGCCUGAUCCAGCCAUGCCGCGUGUCUGAAGAAGGCCUUCGGGUUGUAAAGGACUUUUGUCAGGGAAGAAAAGGCUGUUGCUAAUAUCAAUAGCUGAUGACGGUACCUGAAGAAUAAGCACCGGCUAACUACGUGCCAGCAGCCGCGGUAAUACGUAGGGUGCGAGCGUUAAUCGGAAUUACUGGGCGUAAAGCGAGCGCAGACGGUUACUUAAGCAGGAUGUGAAAUCCCCGGGCUCAACCUGGGAACUGCGUUCUGAACUGGGUGACUAGAGUGUGUCAGAGGGAGGUAGAAUUCCACGUGUAGCAGUGAAAUGCGUAGAGAUGUGGAGGAAUACCGAUGGCGAAGGCAGCCUCCUGGGAUAACACUGACGUUCAUGCUCGAAAGCGUGGGUAGCAAACAGG
rnacentral:rRNA from 1 species